rnacentral:rRNA from 1 species
CCUACGGGAGGCAGCAGUGGGGGAUAUUGCACAAUGGGGGAAACCCUGAUGCAGCGACGCCGCGUGAGGGAAGACGGUCCUCUGGAUUGUAAACCACUGUCCCCAGGGACGAAGAUGACGGUACCUGGGGUGGAAGCUCCGGCUAACUACGUGCCAGCAGCCGCGGUAAUACGUAGGGAGCGAGCGUUGUCCGGAAUUACUGGGUGUAAAGGGAGCGUAGGCGGGACUGGAAGUUGGGGGUCAAAUCUACCGGCUCAACCGGUAGCCGCACUCAAAACUGCAGUUCUUGAGUGAAGUAGAGGCAGGCGGAAUUCCUAGUGUAGCGGUGAAAUGCGUAGAUAUUAGGAGGAACACCAGUGGCGAAGGCGGCCUGCUGGGCUUUUACUGACGCUGAGGCUCGAAAGUGUGGGGAGCAAACAGGAUUAGAUACCCCUGUAGUC